rnacentral:piRNA from 1 species
UUGGUGUAACCCAGAUUGCUGUGCUUC